CUGGCUCAGGAUGAACGCUAGCGACAGGCUAACACAUGCAAGUCGAGGGGCAGCACGGGAGUAGCAAUACAACGUGGUGGCGACCGGCGCACGGGUGAGUAACGCGUAUGCAACCUACCUAUCAGAGGGGAAUAACCCGGCGAAAGUCGGACUAAUACCGCAUAAAACAGGGGCACCGCAUGGUGAUAUUUGUUAAAGAGAUUCGCUGAUAGAUGGGCAUGCGUUCCAUUAGGUAGUUGGUGAGGUAACGGCUCACCAAGCCGACGAUGGAUAGGGGAACUGAGAGGUUGGUCCCCCACACUGGUACUGAGACACGGACCAGACUCCUACGGGAGGCAGCAGUGAGGAAUAUUGGUCAAUGGGCGGGAGCCUGAACCAGCCAAGUCGCGUGAAGGAAGAAGGAUCUAUGGUUCGUAAACUUCUUUUGCAGGGGAAUAAAGUGCAGGACGUGUCCUGUUUUGUAUGUACCCUGAGAAUAAGGAUCGGCUAACUCCGUGCCAGCAGCUGC
rnacentral:rRNA from 1 species